rnacentral:rRNA from 1 species
UACGGGGGGAGCAAGCGUUGUUCGGAUUUACUGGGCGUAAAGGGCGCGUAGGCGGCCACCGCAAGUCAGUUGUGAAAUCUCUGGGCUUAACCCAGAACGGUCAGCUGAUACUGCGGGGCUAGAGUGCAGAAGGGGCAACUGGAAUUCUCGGUGUAGCGGUGAAAUGCGUAGAUAUCGAGAGGAACACCUGCGGCGAAGGCGGGUUGCUGGGCUGACACUGACGCUGACAGCGCGAAAGCGUGGGGAGCAAACAGG